rnacentral:rRNA from 1 species
CCAAUAGCGUAUAUUAAAGUUGUUGCAGUUAAAAAGCUCGUAGUUGAAUUUCGGGAUCAUCAGGUUGGUCGUGCCUCUGGUAUGUACUGAUUUCGAUGGUUCCUCCUUCUUGAAGAGCCGUAAUGCCAUUAAUUUGGUGUUGCGGGGAAUCAGGACUGUUACUUUGAAAAAAUUAGAGUGUUUAAAGCAGGCAAUCGCUUGAAUACAUUAGCAUGGAAUAAUGAAAUAGGACGUUCGAUCCUAUUUUGUUGGUUUCUAGGAUUGACGUAAUGAUUAAUAGGGAUAGUUGGGGGCAUUAGUAUUCAAUUGUCAGAGGUGAAAUUCUUGGAUUUAUUGAAGACUAACUACUGCGAAAGCAUUUGCCAAGGAUGUUUUCAUUAAUCAAGAACGAAAGUUAGGGGAUCGAAGACGAUCAGAUACCGUCGUAGUCUUAACCAUAAACUAUGCCGACUAGGGAUCGGAUGAUGUUAAUUUUUUAAUGACUCAUUCGGCGCCUUACG